CCUACGGGGGGCUGCAGUGGGGAAUAUUGGACAAUGGGCGCAAGCCUGAUCCAGCAAUACCGCGUGUGUGAAGAAGGCCUUAGGGUUGUAAAGCACUUUCAAUGGGGAGGAAAACCUACCGGUCAAUACCCGGUCGCUUGACAUUACCUGUAGAAGAAGCACCGGCUAACUCCGUGCCAGCAGCCGCGGUAAUACGGAGCGUGCACGCGUUACGCGGAAUUACUGGGGGUGAUUCGUGCAUUGGCAUGUGAAAGCCCCGGGCUUAACCUGGGAACUGCAUUUGAAACUGGCGGACUAGAGUUGAGUAGAGGGGAGUGGAAUUUCAGGUGUAGCGGUGAAAUGCGUAGAUAUCUGAAGGAACACCAGUGGCGAAGGCGACUCCCUGGACUCAAACUGACGCUGAGGUACGAAAGCGUGGGUAGCAAACAGGAUUAGAUACCCUAGUAGUC
rnacentral:rRNA from 1 species